GUCGCCGCGAUCAGACGCGGGAGGGCUGGUCUAGGCUGUGGCGUGAAGUGAGGCUACUGUCUGGCCACCGGCGGGGCGGGCGACGGCAGCGUCCUAGUAGGCAGGCUGGCUGGUGUGUCGGGUUUCCGGGAGUAUGGCGGGGAACCGGCGUAGAGAGGGUGCAGAGGGAGAGAGAAAAAUCUCAAGCGGACUUCCCAUGGAGCCAGACAAGGGGCUCGAUCUCAUUCAUGGCUUGAGCCGAAAUCAAGAGUCAGACGCUCAACCGACUCAGCCACCCAGGCACUCCCAUUUAUUUACAUUUUAGAUGCUGUGUAGACGGAGAGGAGUCCGACAUGUCCCUUCUGUCACUUCCUAUUCAGCAUUGUAUGUGUAGUAACAAAAGGAAGAUGGAACUUGAGGACCUGUGACAUACCUUUGCACAGAGAGGCCUGAGUUUGAUGGAUAUGUGCUCACCCUGCAAGACUUGCAGCUAACUAUUGUCAGAGUUCUCACUGUGAACGCUUGCUGUCACAGCCUGUGGAAAUGUUUACCUAGAACGCUAUCUGAAUCAAACCAGCCACAAUGGACUUGUAAGUUCGCCACAAGUCCAGGUAAAUGAGCUCUUGGAAAGCAGCCUGCCGUUGCUUCCGUGUUGUGACAUUCAGAGAUGAGGAGAUGCAGUUCCUGCCCCUGGUUUGCAUACAGCCAGAAGGUGCAGACGUAGGUCGGUAGUUGCUGUGUGCCACUCCAAAAGAGAUUUAUCAGCAGGUUGCAGGUGAGCAUGGCCUUGAGGCCAGUGAUCCAGCUUGGCAGAACAGGCAUGCGCGCACAUGUGUGUGUGUGUAAGGAGCUGGAAGACUGUCAAGGUGAGUUGUUAAUUCAGGAAUCUGAGCUGCUGUUCAUAUCAACAGGCAGAGUUUGGAGACAGAGGAGGUGUUCAUCGUGUGAGACUUUGAGUGUGCUGGAAAACAAGUUGCGGAGCUUUCACUUCACCCAAAACCUUAGGUGAGGAGAUGAGGAUCAUGUCUGCUUAGAGAGGCAUCCACAGGGCAGAAUACUAAAUUGUCUCUGAGAAUUGCUUCGCAGAUGGAGUCAUUGACUCUGCAUCUUGCAUCUUAACUUACACGCCGGAAGAUGCUGUGUGCAGAGCUUUAAGCGACAACCAGACACCUGGGCUGGAGAACCAAGAAUGCAGCCGGUGGGGCCGGGUCCUGUGGUCGCAGGAUGGGCAAAGGCAUCCAGGCAGGAAGUCCCGGAGUUGCUGUUAAAGUACCACACUGAUGUGGAGGCUGCUGUGUGACACGAAGCGUGCAGCAGUGCGGAGGGCUCCAUUUCCCCAGUCUUGCCAUCAAGCUGCAGGGGCCCUUCUGGGCCUUUAUACUGCCUCCCCUCCACGCUGUCUCCAUCUCCUGGCCGCGCGUUCUUUGCUGCGCUGUGAAAGAGCCCUGCCAUCCCUGACCCCGAGAGCAGGGAGAGCCCAGGAGCAGUGGUGGGGUGAAGAAGAUACUAAUUUAUUCUACAUGUGCUGUGUACCACCUGUUCGUUACGUGUUAGCCCUUAGCAGCUGGAUGAUGAAAAAGACAGACACUGUCCCUGCGUUCACGGAAUUAGGCGUGGGAACGGGGUGUCACAGAGUGCUCAGCCGGAGAUCCCCUCAUCACAGUGCCGAUAACCGCUGGGAAAACAGGAGAGGGCAAGGCCCUUGGCUUCCCUGCUUCUCUUUGUGGACGGCCCCUCGCCUUCUCAGGUCUGUCCUGGCUGCUGGCGACACGUCACUUAGCAUCCCUUCCUUUCCUGUGCCCCUCAGCCCGAGCUCUGCAGGCCUUGGAGAUUCAGAUACUUUGCCUAUAAACCAAUAGACCAGUACAGUCUGACCACUUGAAAGACUUCUGAGUUCACGUUGGCCGAGCCCUCCCGUGACAGCCGGGCCCGGUAAUGACUAACCUAACGUCACACGGGCGGCAGUGUGCAGGACUAGACUCCAGGUCCAGUGAAAUGAGUGUCAAGCAUGCCAGUCGGCCAGAGGUGAACGUGAGCCGGAACUGUGCCGGGUGCAUGGUGCCUGAAUGCCCAGCCCUGCUGGCUGAGAAGUGAGUGGCUUACAGGAGUGGGUACGGAAGAGAGGAAGCCGGGCAUCGGAAUGGUCUAAUAGAAAGAGACGUGCUUUGGCAUUGCAAUGCCAUUCCGUAUCUUCAGACAGCCAGGCUUUUCCAAAGAAAAACAGGGAUGCACAAAUCCGUGGAGCUGACAGCUGAACGUGUAAAGGUGCUGAGAAAUGUCCACGUUGAAAAAUGACAAUUUUGAAUUUUCAUAGUCUAAUAGAACACCAAUCUUCCUUGGGGACACUGUUAUUCUUAUAUCUGGAGUCGUCUCGUUGUGCAGGAACUCAUACUUAUGCCUGAAAAUUAAAUGUUGAUACAACAAA